UGGACGACUGCGGCGUUCUGCUGGCAAAACAUAGCUUCGGUUAUGUCAAUGGCUAUUGGAUUGGUCCAUGAAGCGAAAAAUAGUUUACUGUGUCACUCGUACCGAUAACCGCAUCAGGUCUUCUAGGUAAGUAGCCUAUGGCCAUUGAGGCAUGAUAGUUCAGGGAAUUCGGCCAAUUAGAGCUGUAACUUCGGGAUAAAGCUUGGCUCUGAUGAAAAUCAGAACCGAUUGUUACGCGGAGAGCCCAACUGUUUAAUAAAAACGUAGUGUCGCGCUGUGGUAGUAUAGCCAGUGAACGCGACAUGAAUCCUGCUCAGUGCUGUGUCUGUUAAUAUGGUUCAAGCCAACGAAGCACCGGUAAAUAGCUGGGGUAACUAUGACUCUUAUCAAAGUAGCGAAAUACCUCGUCACUUAAUUAGUGACCUGCAUGAACGGAGCUAUGAGGUUCUCACUGUCCCAAACUGUCUCUCAGCGAACCAACUGUAGUGGGAACGGUCACUAGAUAUCCAGCGGGGAAAGAAGACCCUGUAGAGCUUCACUUUGGUCUAGUCUUGUAUAGUUCCUGCGGGGGUGUAGACUAGGUGGGAGAGCAAUCGAUUCUGAAAAACCACUACCCUGUUUGGAAUUAUGCUUACCUAUCACAAGGAAUAGGACUAGAUAGAAAGUUUGGCUGGGGCGGCACACCUUCGAAAGAGCAGCGAAGGUGUCCUAAGUUGAGCUCAGUGAGGACAGAAAUCUCACGUUGAGGAUAAGGCCAAAAGCUCAAUUUACUGUGCCUUUUUGUACUAGGAUCAGUUACGAAAGUAAGGCCUAACGAUCCCUAAAUAGCCUCAGGUGCGUGAGGAUUGGGGUGACAGACAAGUUACCUCCGGGACAACUGGCUUGUGGCUGCUAAGAGAUCAAAUCAACGCAGCUUUUUGAUUCUUCGAUGUCGGCUCUUCCUAUCCUAGUGAUGUACAAGU
rnacentral:ncRNA from 1 species